UUGAUAUGCCAUGGGUGUGGCCAAAAAAACCCCCAAACCAUUAAACAUAGGUCUCACAGGAAAAAAAAAAAAAACAAAACCCACUGUAGUCCUCAAUCACAUCAUCUACAUUAAAAGUUAAUAUUAUUCCAUUAAAGAGAGAUCCUUCUGUUACGUUUUCUCAGUCUGUACAUUCUGGGGUGUGGAAGGAAAUGAGAAAUUGUCCAACUAGUUAAAAUUUACAAAGUAGGACUAAAUACUUUGUUUUUAUCUUUUUAGGGCCAUACCUGUGGCAUAUGGAAGUUUUCAGGCGGGGGGUUGAAUUGGAGCUGUAGCCACUGGCCUACACCACAGCUUCAGGAAUGCCAAAUCCAAGCCACAUCUGCAACCUACACCACAGCUCACGGCAAUGCCAGAUUCUUAACCCACUGAAUGAGGCAAGGGUUUGCACCUGCAACAUCAUGGAUACUAGUCAGAUUCAUUUCCACUGAGCCACAAUGGGAACUCCUAAAAUAGACUUUUUUAACUUCCCAUAUUUUCUUUUGGUAAGAAAAUAAUAAUUGGCUUCAUAAAAUGAGUUAUGCAUCUUUACUUAUUUUUCUGUUUUCUAGAAUGAUUACUUUUUAAAGUGACAGUAGUAUUCUCUAUUCAUUGGAUUACUGAUAUCACUCCAGCAAAACUAUCUAGGUUUACUGUUUAUUUUUAGUUAUCAUUUAGUUUUCCAUUUCUUUAACUGUUAUUUGUUUAAUCAGCAGUUCUGAUUAAAAAUGGCAUUUUUUCUAGUUGUGCAACCAUUGAUUUCAUUAGUUUUUUCAAAUUUUUUAGCAUAACAUUACCCGAUGUAGUCAUUUCCAGUUUUUUCUACAUCAAAGUAAUAAUUAUUUACUCUUUUUUGAUAUAUAAUUGAAUUUCUUUUUUGUUUCUUCAUUAUUUUCCCUGAAGUUUAUCUUAGCAUUUUUCCAGUUUUAUUGAGUUAUAAUUGACAUGUAAUAUUGUAUUAAUUUAAAGUGUACAACAAAAUGAUUUGAUAAAUGUAUAUAUUGCAAAAUGACUACCACAAUAAGUUUAGUUAAUAUCCAUCACCUCCCAUAGUUAUAUUUGAUGUUACUCAUUAUUGAAAAUUUCUGAUCUCAGUUUGAAUGAUUUAUAACCUUACUUUAACUUUUUAAUUUCUUUAGCUUUGGACCAUUGUUGAGUAGCUUUCAAGUUGAAUGACUUGUUAAUUUCCCUAAAAUUGUGUAAACCUGUAAAUUUCCUUCUAAUUACCAUAGAAGGAAAUUUUUAACCAUUAUUUUAACCAUAUUCCACAAACUCAUACCAUCAAUGUCAUUUAGUUCUGAAGAGAUGAGAUUUCCUUCAUAUUCCUUCCUGAUUUUUUCUAUAGUUCAAGGGUUAUCUAACAGUUCCUGGAUAUAUUUAGUAUAUACAUUUUCCCCUCUUAUUAUUGAUUAGACUGUAGUGAAUCUAACUUUGAUGGCCAUCCUCAGUCUUUGAUUCCAAUAAUUCUGUUUGAGGAAGUGCUCCAGAAUCCUUGGAGAAUUUUGGACUCAGAAAAUCAAGCUUUAUUAUAUCCACAGUGGCAUAUGCUUUAAGAAAAAAUUCCAUAACAAAAAAAAUAUGAUUUUUAAAACAUUCACACAAAUUUAGGUAAUUAAAGGAAGGCUAAUCUCUCCCCUUUUCUGAAAGAAAAGUAAUGUUUACACACUAGUUUUGAUCAAGAUUUCAAAAUACUUUAAUGAAUCUAAAACAGACAAUAUUAUUUUGGUGAGAGGAAUGAUGUUUCAGAGAAUCAAUAAAAACAACCACUAUGGUAAACAGUAUGAAGGUACCAUAGAAAACUAUACAUAGAACUACCAUGUGACCCAGCAAUCCCACUCUUGGGCAUAUAUCUAGACAAAACUUUCCUUAAAAAAGACACAUACACCCACAUGUUCAUUGCGGCACACUUCACAAUAGCCAAGACAUGGAAACAACCCAAAUGUCCAUUGUCAGAUGAUGGAGUAAGAAGAUGUGGUAUAUAUACAAAAUGGAAUAGCACUCAGCCAAAAAAGAGCAAAAUAAUGCUAUUUGCAGCAACGUGGAUGGAACUAGAGACUCUCAUACUAAGUGAAAUAAGUCAGAAAGAGAAAGACAAAAAUCAUAUGAUAUCACUCAUAUCUGAAGUCUAAUAUAUGGCACAAAUGAACCUUUCCACAGAAAAUAAAAUCAUGGACUUGGAGAAUAGACUUGUGGCUGCCAAGGGGUAGGGGGAGGGAGUGGGAUGGAUUUGGAAUUUGGGGUUAAUAGAUGCAAAUUAUUGCCUUAGGAAUGGAUAAGCAUGAGAUCCUGCUGUAUAGCACUGUGAACUAUGUCUACUGACUUAUGAUGGAGCAUGAUAAUGUGAGAAAAAGAAUGUUUACAUGUAUGUGUAACUGGGUCACAUUGCUGUAUAGAAGAAAACUGACAGAACACUGUAAACCAGCUAUGAUGGAAAAAAUAAAAGUCAUUAUAAAUGAAAAAAAGGAAUUUGAUCAAGACAGUAAUACAAAUAUAUAUUUUAUCUUUGUAUUCAUAUUCAUAAGGAGGCAUGAAUUCCAAAAACGUAAAAACCUUGAAGACAUUUAUAUUAAAAAAAAUUUUAACGUCUUGACUCAGAAGUUCCCAUAAGGUUCAACAGGGUUAAGGAUAUGGCCUUGCCACAGCUGUGGCACAGGUCAUAUCUGUGGCUCAGAUUCUGUCCCUGGCCUAGGAACUUCCACAUGCCACAGGUGCAGCCAAAAAAUAAAAAUAAAUAAAUAAAUAAAAGCCUUGAUUCAACUUUUCUGCCAUAAUCUGUUAAAAUUCAUAAGAUCAAUAUUGUUCUCCAUGAAUAUAUAAUUCUUUAGAGAAUGCAUUUCUUUUUACUUUUAUUAUACUAAUAUAAUUUUAAUGCUAGGAAAAACUUUUUCAAUGCCCCAAUACUGUGUGAGGAAGCUGUUUUAAGGCCAGUAGAGCAAUUGAUUAUCAUAUCCUAGUGGAUACUGGGUACACUAUUAGAUUCUUAAAAGUGAACAAAGAAAAUUG
rnacentral:lncRNA from 1 species